UGUGGUCGUUACAUAGUUCCAAUAUUAUGUUUUAAAUUACAUAAAUGUCAUAUUGAACAGUUGGUGCUGUUUGCCUUGUCUAACUUGUACCUGCUCUACAAUGAUGUCCCUUAUCAUCUCAGUUUUCCUGUUGGCGCAUGGUUUAGUGAGCGUCAAUGGCGCCUGGAAUGCAACAGCGGAUUGUGAUGACGAAUGGCAGUUAGUUUUCCGAGCACAGCAAGGAAAUGGACAGGGCGUAUACAAUGAAUGGCGGCGGAGCUCUCCGAGCACGUGCGUAGUCUCGUCAGGCUGUCUACCCGAAAAUGUCGAUCUGGCAAUGAUGAAAAUACCAACAAAUAAACAUCUCAGAAGUCCUAUCAUAGGCAAAUGGUCAUCUUCAAAUAUCAAACAGGUGAAACUGGAACUAUUUGACAACGGUAAAUCUGUGAUGUAUAUGAUCUUUGAUGGAAAGAACACAAACUAUAUGAGCUGGUUUUCUUACUCCAAAUUUCUUGAGAGUAACUAUGAUGAUCUAUACAAUGAUGGCUGUUUCUACAAG